GCAGUUGUUGCGCAGGCACUUUGGUGACUUUAGAUAACCUUGGGCCGAUCGCACGUCCCUGUGAUGGCGACGAUGCAUUCAGAUGUCUGCCCUAUCAACUUUUGAUGUUACUUUCUGUGCCUACCAUGGUAACCACGGGUAACAGGGAAUCAGGGUUCGAUUCCGGAGAUGGAGCCUGAGAAACGGCUACCACAUCCAAGGAAGGCAGCAGGCACGCAAAUUACCCACUCCCAACGCAGGGAGGUAGUGAC